GACAGAGGCCUCAAGCGUUAAGCGGAAUCACUGGGCUUAAAGCGUGUGUAGGCGGAUCGUUAAGUGUCUUGUGAAAUCCCACGGCUCACCCGUGGAACUGCGUGGCAUACUGGCGAUCUUGGGCCAACUAGGGGCAGCCGGAACAAGCGGUGGAGCGGUGAAAUGCGUAGAUAUCGUCAAGAACACCUAUAGCGAAGGCAGCUUACUGGGCUGUAACUGACGCUGAGGCACGAAAGUGUGGGGAUCAAACAGG
rnacentral:rRNA from 1 species